rnacentral:lncRNA from 1 species
UGGAUGUGGCACCUCAGCCAGCUCUAAUCUGUCUGCCUCAAGCACUCUUCCUAACACAUAAGAAUAUGAGCUUGUUGGAAGUCAAGAGCUCUGCCAUCUCUCUUACCCGGAAGACACUUGUGAUGUGGACAUUCAUCGUGAACCUGUUAUGUAUUAACAUCAUAAGCUGCCAGUCUCGAUGGUCUAAGCUUUCUGUGGACCUAAACUCCUUAUCAAGCCUUGGAGUAGAGUCAUCUUGGGAAGACAAGAAGGCUCUGUUCCCCACUGCACUGCUCGGCAGUUCCUGUUAUGAGAAUCAUGUCUUCAGCCUAGACAAGUUAGACAUUUUCCCAGAAACCCACAGACAAGAGGCCAAAGCAGUGCGCAGGAUUCUGAGCUCCGGCCGCCUGGAUGAGAAUUCUAGCUCUCUGUCUGCCUGUGUCCCUGUCUCUCUCUCUGCCCACGCCCCGCUCCCCCAGCAGCCCCCGUCCCCGUGCACGCGCGCACGCGCGCGCACACACACACACAUACAAAAUGUAUUUUGAUGAUAUCCCGAUUAUCCACUUUACCCAUCCCCAUACUGAAUUCCUUUCGAAUAAAUGUUCC